AUACUUACCUGGCACAGGAGAUACAGUGAUCAAUAAGGCUGUUCUCCCAGGUCGAGGCUUAUCCAUUGCACUUCGGGUGGGCUGAACCCUGCGAUCACCCCAAAUGUGGGUGACUCGGGUGCGUAAUUUUUGCGUAUGGGGGACUGCGUUCGCGCUAUCCCCUA
rnacentral:snRNA from 1 species